UACGUAGGGUGCAAGCGUUAAUCGGAAUUACUGGGCGUAAAGCGUGCGCAGGCGGUUUUUUAAGCCAGAUGUGAAAUCCCCGAGCUUAACUUGGGAACUGCAUUUGGGACUGGAAGGCUAGAGUACGGCAGAGGGGGGCGGAAUUCCACGUGUAGCAGUGGAAAUGCGUAGAGAUGUGGAGGAACACCGAUGGCGAAGGCAACCCCCUGGGCCUGUACUGACGCUCAUGCACGAAAGCGUGGGGAGCAAACAGG
rnacentral:rRNA from 1 species